rnacentral:rRNA from 1 species
CCUCUGGAGAGGGAAACGGGAGACGGGGCUCAUCCUUUCCCCUGUUUUUUUGAGGAAAGGGAACUUUUCUCGCAAAAGAUGGGCUUUCCUCUUCAGGUAAGUGGAAGGAAAACCUCCCCAGGGUUUGGCGGGAACUUGUUUGAAGGGAUAUCCCCCACCUUGGUAUGAGACCGGCCCAAUUCUCUCGGGGAGCCCCAGGGAGAAUUUCCCAAAUGGGGAACCCCUGAUCCACCACGCCGGGUGGAGGAGACGCAUUUCGGUGUGAAACUCCUUUUUAGGAUCAAGAAAAUGCCGGUAGCUCAUGAAUAAGCACCGGCUAACUCCGUGCCAGCAGCCGCGGUAAUACGGAGGGUGCAAGCGUUAUUCGGAAUCACUGGGCGUAAAGGACGCGUAGGCGGGUUGCCAAGUCUGAUGUGAAAUCCUACAGCUUAACUGUAGAACUGCAUUGGAAACUGGUAACCUAGAGUAUGGGAGGGGGAGAUGGAAUUAGUGGUGUAGGGGUAAAAUCCGUAGAUAUCACUAGGAAUACCGAAAGCGAAGGCGAUCUCCUGGAACAUUACUGACGCUAAGGCGUGAAAGCGUGGGGAGCAAACGGGAUUAGAUACCCCGGUAGUCCACGCACUAAACGAUGUUCACUAGUCGUCGGGAUGCUAGUCAUCUCGGUGAUGCACUUAACAGAUUAAGUGAACCGCCUGGGGAGUACGGUCGCAAGAUUAAAACUCAAAGGAAUAGACGGGGACCCGCACAAGUGGUGGAGCAUGUGGUUUAAUUCGAAGAUACGCGAAGAACCUUACCUAGCCUUGACAUUGAUUGAACUCAGUAGAGAUACAGAGGUGCCCUUCGGGGAGCAUGAAAACAGGUGCUGCACGGCUGUCGUCAGCUCGUGUCGUGAGAUGUUGGGUUAAGUCCCGCAACGAGCGCAACCCUCGUCUUUAGUUGCCAGCAGGUUAAGCUGGGCACUCUAAAGAGACUGCCUUCGCAAGGAGGAGGAAGGUGAGGACGACGUCAAGUCAUCAUGGCCCUUAUGGCUAGGGCUACACACGUGCUACAAUGGGGCGUACAGAGAGUUGCGAUACCGCGAGGUGGAGCCAAUCUCAUAAAGCGUCUCUCAGUUCGGAUUGGAGUCUGCAACUCGACUCCAUGAAGCUGGAAUCACUAGUAAUCGUAGAUCAGCAAUGCUACGGUGAAUACGUUCCCGGGUCUUGUACUCACCGCCCGUCACACCAUGGGAGUUGAUUUCACCCGAAAUUGGGAAGCUAACCUUCGGGGGGCUACCACUUACGGUGGAAUUAGCGACUGGGGUGAAGUCGUAACAAGGUACC